rnacentral:rRNA from 1 species
AUUGAACGCUGGCGGCAGGCUUAACACAUGCAAGUCGAACGAGUGGCGGACGGGUGAGUAAUGCUUGGGAAUCUGGCUUAUGGAGGGGGAUAACGACGGGAAACUGUCGCUAAUACCGCGUACCAUAGGAUGAGCCCAAGUGGGAUUAGGUAGUUGGUGGGGUAAUGGCCUACCAAGCCGACGAUCCCUAGCUGGUCUGGGAGGAUGACCAGCCACAGCGGGAAUGAGACAGGGCCCGUACUCCUACGGGAGGCAGCAGUGGGGAAUAGUGCGCAAUGGGGGGAACCUGACGCAGCCAUGGCGCGUGAGUGAAGAAGGCUUUCGGGUUGUAAAGUUCUUUCGGUGACGAGGCGUUAAUCACCGAAGAAGCACCGGCUAACUCCGUGCCAGCGGCCGCGGUAAUAC